rnacentral:tRNA from 1 species
GGGUAGUUCAGUGGUAGAACAUCCACCCGGUAAGCGGAAGACCCGGGUUCGACUACCGGUCC